GGAAAACACGUCUACGUCGGUCCGUGAUUUUUCCCGCGUAAAUUUAUAUUUCGCGAACUUUUACAGUUGAAAAGUCGUAAAAACCGGUUCGUCCUGAAGAUAACGUGAUCACGAAACGUCGGAAUCGGAAAUUCAUUAUAUAACAUCUCAAAAUUAAAAGCUAUGCAUAUGGAAAUGUAAUAAUUAAAACUUUCAACUCAUGUUAUUAAAAAUAAUGAUAAGUGAUUACAUAAUCAUGUAUAGACAAGUGACUUCUAGUGAAAUGUGAAGAUAUGAUUGACACAGUGACGUAGUGUGCCCUUAGUAAGGCACUGAGGCUCCAGUUGUGAACUAGUGCUCGUAUGGUGAAGUUAU
rnacentral:misc_RNA from 1 species